GCUCUGGUACUCCCUGGACACAGUGUAGGAAGUCUUUCCCGUUCCUACCUUCUCUGUCAGUGGCGAGGGUCGGCGAGAAAUGUUGGGGGUCGAGCGUGAGAGGGAGGACGGAAAGGAAGCGAAGUAGUCUGGAGCCAGCGCGGGACUUGGCAGCUGCAGGGAGGGGCUUGGACCCGCGGUGCUUAGCGCCAUUUGAGUAGGGGUCGAUCUGCUCGAUGUCGAUUGCUGAGGUUGGUUGCUGCGGGUGAUUCCUGUAAUUUCCUUAGAGGGAGGUGGGUUUGCAGUGUCAUGAGAACGGAGGGUGGGGAUUUUGUCAAUGGAGACACCUUUGGCAUGACAUAAUUUCCUCCUUGUUAGUUUCAAGGUGAUAUUCCCCAUCAUUUUGUCUCGCCAUUUUAUAGGAAUUUUUCAUAUAUUUAUGUAAUCCUAAGGUGCAGUGCAGCUCGGAUACAUUUUGUUACUCAGUUGUUGCCCGUGUACGUUUUAAUUUACUAAGGCGAUGAAAUGGAUUCUUUUAUGUUUUGCUGAGAAGCCUAGGGGGUUGUAAUUUGUUGUGGUGGCCAUUAUUCCUGCUUUAUGGUGCUGAAAGAAAUCAUUUUGCUUUAUACCACCCACCUAUCUACCAACAGCUAAAUGAGCUGAGAACAAGCGUCUGUGAGUCCAGUUCAGUGUCUUUUUAAAAAACUUUUCAUUUGGAGAUAAUUCGACUCACAUGCAGUUGUAAGAAGUAAUAUAGGAAGAUCCUGUAUAUGUUCACCCAGCUUCCCCCAGUGUGAACAAUAACAAAGUGAGUGGCACGUAUGUAUGACCCACCUAAAGAAAAAGAACACUACCAGAAUAUUACCAGUACCUUAGGAGCUCCCUGGGUGCACCACCAUCCAUCUCCCCUUCCUUUCCCACAGCUGUAACCAUUAUGGAAUUGAAAGACUACUCGGUAGGUGUCAGACUUCUCCGGAGGGAUCGAAUCAGCGCAUGUCCCCGGCGCGGGCUGCCCCAGGGCCACAGCUCCGCCGCGCCGGGUCUGUGCUUGGUCAGCUCGGCCGGCCCCCACCACACCUGCAAGCUGCAGCAGCUGCUCCCCUACAUAGAUAUUAUUAACAGUAUUUUCUCCCAUGAGGAAGAAGUCCAUAGAUAUUAAAUUUAUUAGUAUGUUUGAUAUUUCGUGUGGGUCAAACUGAAUUACAAUAAUUGUCAAUUUAAAAACAGUCUUUUUAUCUAUACUUCUUGGAGUUUCCCUAAGCUACUUCACUGGCAGUUUUUUUUCUUUUUAAGGUAACCACUAAAAAGUAAAUAUAAGAUAUAAACCUUUUAACUUAUUAUUUAAUAGGAAUGAACAAAACUACUUAAACCUGCGUUGAAAUUUAAUUUCUGUCUAAUUUUGUGAUGUCACUUUGAGCAGCUGUGACAUGAGUUAAGUGGGUCGUUUUACCUUUGCAUUGCUUAAUCUAGUCAGUUCUGUACCUAAUGUUGUUUAUGCUUUGUUUACGAUGGUACAGAAGGUCUGUACAUAGGGUUGUUUAAAUAGUAAAGGAUGUGGCUCUCUGAAAGCUUCUUAUACUCACAAGUUUUUCCUUGCCAGUAAUUCUACUUUAUUCCUAAAAAAAAGAAGUUAUUCUUUAUAAAAAGUCGCAGUAAAUUUUCUAGUUGUAUGUAAUUUUCUUUCCAUUGUGGUCUUCAAUAGUUAUAAAUAACACAUGAAAUGACUUUCAAGGUAGAAAGCAGGAAUCCAUUUUGAAAUGUUCUAUAAAAUAAAGAGUGAUUUAUGGUUUCAUAUGAUUUGGGCUGAAAGCACUCAGGCUUUGCCAGGUCAUCAAAGUCCUGUCAGGGGAAUCUGUUGUAUAUUGUUUGAUAUGCUGGGAGUGGUGUAAGUAUUUAAUGCUUAUCUUAUGUAAGUAUAGUGUUAGGAAAAAUCAAUUCCAGAUACUAAUACAAUUUUAAGAAUAGAUCAUAGAGUGCUAACCUAAAUAUUGUAGUUGUAAGUGAUGAGGUUCAACAUUAAGGAUUUGGAUUAAAAGGGGAUUUUGAAAAAUGAAUAAAUAAUGGUUUCAUUCCUAUAAAAUAUUUUAGAUAAGAUUCUUGAAAAUGCUAAUUUCAUACCUUUUUGGGCUUGAUUUUAGCUUAGCUUCGUUUGAUAGUGAAACAUCUUUUUAUCUAGACAGGUUUUGGAAAAUCAUAGAGCUGGGACUAUGUGUUUGUUAUAUGAUCAUAUAACAUUCUAUAAGCUUCUAAUAUAUUUUUUCUAGUUGCCAACUUUAUAACAGAACCUCAACUUAGAGGGACGUAAUGUAACAAACCUCAGUUUCCCCUGUUACAAGCUGUUAUGAAAUGCUAAUAUAAUACCUAGUAUUUACCUGUGUUUGAUAAAAAUGACUUGCCAGUAAAAUUGAUGAUCUUGCAUCAGAUUUAUACAUUUUUCCUACAAUCCUUUGGCAGAGUUCUUUGAAACAGCCUCACUAAUGAAUUUAAUGAUCAUAUUUAAUGAUGUGAAAUGUUUAAAUGAUAUUAAGUAUUUGAUGAACUUCUGUAGCAUACAUCUGGAAAAGCCCUAUAGUGUACGUAUAGAAAAGGCUAUUGGACUUUCUUUUCAAGAAACUAUUUUAAGUUGUUAGAUCUUUGAGGAUAACUUAAGUCAAUAGUAAACAAAUGGUAGUUUUUUUCCCUUCAAAUAGCUUAAGUAUAACUUCAGGUAAGUUCAGAUUUGUUAUUGAAGGGGUAGGAAGAGAAGGGAAGAGAACCAAUAUUUAUUGAAUGUCAGCGACAUGCUAGGAGACACUGUGUAAGGUGUUUUAUAUCAUUUUUUAACCUAUUCUUCCAUAUAUCCCUAUGAGAUAUAUUAUUAGCCCUAUAUUACAGUUGAAAACAUUGUACUUGUAUAUUUGUACUCAGAUUUUUUACAGUGUGUUUCCAGUGUAAUGCUGUGUGACUUAACCCUGAUUAUUUGUUUCUAACUCAUGUCUGGCUUUCCCUUGUGGGAGAGACUGUAUAAUUCAUUGUAAUAAGCCUAUAUAUGUUCCAUAUAAAUGCCUCACAAGGAUGUUGUGUGAAUUUGAGUAAUGAUUCAGAAGCUAAGUAGUUCACUUUUUAUGGUGCCAAGUGUUAAAAAAAAAAAGGCUUUAUUUUGAAAUUAGUCAAGGGUUUAAAAGCUAUUAAAAUUGAGCUUAUAAAUAUUAAUUUAAACAAAACAAGCAGUUAGUUGUUUUACUUAUUUUGCUAAAUUAUAAGUAAGACCAAAAAGUUUAAUUAUGUUAACUUUUCCUAAAUAAGAAUUAAAAAAAAAAUGAAACCUAAAGCUCCAGUUUUAUGCAAAGUCAUCCUUCGUGCUGUGCCUAGAGUUAUUUUUCUGAAACACUGAUUAGAUCUUGUUCUUAUGGCUAAAAUCUUAGACUCCCUGUUGCUUACAGGUUCAAGUUCAGACUCCACAGUUUGGCUCCAACCACUCUUUGGGCCAUCACUUUUUGGUACUCUCUUCCUUCACCCUUCGCCAAGAAUAUUCCCUUCCACUUUCCCUUUUCCUUCAGCUUUUUUCUUCUACACUUUUCAGUUGUGUUAUUACAGAUCUGAAAGACCCAGCUGGUUAGUGUCCCCUGCUCCUUGGAGCUUUCCAUGACUCACCUCUACAGAGGGAAUGCUUCUUUCCUUUGUGUUCCUCUAACAGUUUUAAUUACCUUUAUUAUUUCAGUCCCUUUAAAUUCUUAUUCUUUAGACUCUGAGCUCUUUUAGGCUAGGCAUUGCCUUUAUCUUUUUUUUCCCCUCACUACCUAUCACAGUCUGUUCUAUCCCUCUCUCUCUCUUCCCUUUCCCCAUUAUUGUAUGUAUUUCUUCUUUUCUUUCCUUAAACAGGUAUUUAUAGAGAAUCUACUAUGUGCCUCCUCUGUUCAAGGAACUCGGUGUUUAUUGAAUGGAUGGGAAGAAAUAUGAAAUCCUGGCCAGGAAGACAUUAUUAACUGUAUUAUUAGUCUGUCGCUCUAAUCAUUCUAAGCAUGAAGAUAUCUUCUGUUCAACACAUAUUUGUUGAAAACCUACCACAAGCGCUGCUUUACUGGGGAUUCAGUGGUGAAUAAAAUAUACACAGUCCCUGCUCUUAUGAAGCUGACAUUCCAGUAGGAAAGUGAGUUGUGGCCACAAAGAGACAGGGAGCCCAACCUUGUAAAGUCAGACAAAUUGUCCAGACCUCUAUGUGUCUGUGGCUUCUUUGUCUAUAAAACUGUGUAGCAUUAUAUAACAUUAAAGCGUAUUGAAAAUGCAGCACUUCAAAGGAUCUAGAAUGGCCAAGACAAUAUUUAAAAAGGAUGAAGUUGGAGGACUUAUUCUACCUGAUUUUAGGACUUAACCGUAAAAUGUACAAUAAUCAAGACAGUGUGGUAGUGGCAUAAGGAUAGACACAUGGAUUAAUGCAACAGAGAGUCCAGAAACAGACCCACACUGACAUGGUCAAUUGAGUUUUGAUGAAGUUACCAAGGUAGGAAAUAGUCUUCAAUAAAUCAUGCUGGAAUAAUUGGAUAUCGACAUUAAGAGAGGUACCUAAACCUUUUCCUCAUGACAUACACAAAAUUUAAGUCAAAACAGAUCAUUGCCAUAUGGACACCAAAGGGGGAAAGGGUGGGGGUGGGAUGAAGUGGGAGAUUGGGAUUGACCUAUAUACACUAAUAUGUAUAAAAUAGUUAACUAAUGAGAACCUGCUGUAUAGCACAGGGAAUUCCACUUCGCUGUACAGUAGAAACUAACACAACAUUGUAAAACAACUAUACCCCAAUAAAAACAUAAAACAAACAAAAAAAAAACCCAGAUCAUUGGCCUAAAUCUAAGAGCUAGCGCCGUAAAUCUUCUAGAAGAAUUUAGGAGAAAAUCUUUGUGACUUUGAAUCAAGUAAAAGUUUCUUACAUAGAAUACAAAAAGCAUGAAUCAUAAAAGAAAAAAUAGUAAGUUGGACUUCAUAAAGAUUAAAACAUUAGCUUAUCAAAAACACAGGAAAUGAAAAGGUAAGCCAUUGAUAAAGAGAAAAUACCUGUAAGGCAUAUAUUUGAAAAAGGACUUGUAUCCAGACAAUAUAAAAUUCUCUUACAACUCAAUUAUAAAGCAAUCCAAUAAUAAAAUGAGAAAAAUACUUGAAUAGAUACCACACAAAGGAAACUAUAUGGAUGGUCAAAAAGCACAUGAAAAGAUUCUCAGCGAAAUGCAACUUAAAACCACAAUGAGGUGCCACUAUACCCACACUAGAGUUGGUAAGAUUUAAAAGACUAAAAAUAAGAAGAAUUGGUGACAGUGUGGAGGAACUGGAAAUCUCAUACAGUGCUGGUGGGAAUGCAAAACUAUAUAGCCAUUUCAAAAAAUGAAGUUUCUUAAAAUGUUAAAAUACACUUACCAUAUGACCCAGCAAUUCCACUCUUAGGUAUUUAUCUGAGAGAAAUGAAAACAUAUGUCCACUGGAAGACUUAUACAUGAAUGUUCAUAGUAUCAUUAUUUCAUGAUAGUCCCAAACUGGAAACAAUCGAAAUGCCCAUCAACUGAUGUACAGAUAAAAAAAGAAAAUGAUGAUAUACAAUGGAUUAGUAACAACUAGAAAAAAUGGAGUGCUGGUACAACAACAUGGAUGAAUCUCAAAAUUAUCAUAUUAAGUAAAAAAAUCAAGAAAAAAUUAUAUAUACUGUUCUGUAUGAUUCCAUUUACAUGAAAUUCUAGAAAAGGCAAAUCUGGUUUCCUGGGGCAUGAGGAAGGGAUGAAGAUUAAUUACAAAGGGGCUUGAGGAAAAUUUGGUGGUGAUGGAAGUGUUCUAAAACGUGAUUGUUGUGGUAGUUGCAUGACUCUACAUUUACUAAAAUUUAUUCACAGUUAAAAAAAAAAGCAUGAAGAUAAUAGGCCCUUACCAUUUAACACAGAAAUAGCCUAUCAGUUUCACGAACUUGAGGGGAUGUCUGGAUGGAAAUAUUAAGGGAAAACACAAAUGAUAAUCAUUUUGGUUUUAUGUAAUUUGAACUUAAAUCAUGUUCAGUAUUGAAAUCUAUCCUUGGUUUUGCCUUGUCAGCAGAGACAUGACUCCUGACUGUGUUGAUCGCAACCGUGGGAAUAACCACAUGCCUAUUUGCCUAUCCAAAGUAACAGCUAAUUUGAUCCAAAUAGAGGAGGGUAAUUUUAUUAUUGUUUGCCAUUGGAGUUGGCAUCUGGUAAAAAUGGGUGUAUGUUUGGAGUAGUAUUUAGGUGAAAAUGUAGUGCUUCUAAAAUAUCUUUCUGAAGAAAAUAAAAGUAGGUAUUCUUUAUAGAGCAAGUACCCUCUGCUAACAACUGAACAACCCUAUGAGGUAGAUGGUGGUAUUCCCAUUGAUGGAUGAAGAAACAAAAGCUAAGAGAAGUCAAGUGACUUGCCUGAGAUCUCAUAGCUAGUUAAGCAGCAAAACUAAGAUUCAAACUUAGCUCUGUCUGACUGGGACCAUGCCCAUUUCAUUACGUUGCUAUCCUGCCCUUACAUCCUCAUUCUCAGACUCUUGUCCAAGUUGGAGAGAGUGAAUUUACCAUGGUAAUUUGAAUUUGUGAUGCCGAAUUACUGAAUUACUUGAUCUUUGGCAAGUUAUUUAACAUUUCUCAUCCCAUUUUUUUCGCAUGGAUAAUACUGCCUGCUUCCCAGAGUUAUAAUGAGGAAUAAAUGAGAUGAUGUGUAUGAAAAUGCAUUGUGAAUCAUAAAGCCCUGUACUGAUGUUUGGUGAUGUAUUAUUAAUGCUGUCAUUAUUACACACAUAAACAUACUACUAAUCCUGCUUCCUGAAUAUUUCUUUGCUAUUGUCCUUUUUAAGCCACUUAGCAGCUUUUACAGUACCAUAGUGACUGAAUUUCAUUAAUAAGGAAAGUUAUUUUUUAGAUAUAAAAAUUCAGUUAGUCUUAAGACAAAAGACAUUAGAACAAUACAGUUUUAACCGUUUGAAGAACUAAGUAUGCUUAACUAUUUAGAAUUUUCCUUUCUUCUAUUUCCUCCUACACCACAAAAUUUUUUCCUGUGUAUUAUAUCCAAAGUUAAGGUUGCAACUUUAUGAUGGCUUAUUUCCAAUAAUUGAUAUUUAAUGGCUAUAUUCAGUACAUUUGGUCAGAACUUCUUUUUUGAACCAAACAUUUUAUACCCACAAAGCGUUCACCACUAGAAAACUCUAGUUCUUCCAUGAAUGCAGCUGAAUCUUUUGUUUAAUGUGGUUUUAACUACAGAUUGACUACAUAAGUUGCUUCCAUAUGCAUAUUGCUUUUUACAUAAAGAAGAUAAUCAUUCUCUUUUCUUGAAAUCCUUGAUGCUUAGUGUGUAGUUUAAACCCUUGCCAAAAGAAUGCUAUUUCUUUUCUACUAGGUAAAAUUCCAAGAGGUCCAUGGUAUCUCAUUGUAGUGAAACAGUAGCAGCACUAAACUUUCAAAACAUGCUUUGUUCAUCGGACUGAUAUAAAAGAUUUAAUAGCCUCUGUUGAAAUGGUAGCUCUUAUGAUAAAAGGUUAUGGAAGAGUCUUAAAUUUACAACAUAGAGUAUUAACUAGUUGAUGUAGCUGAACAUCUGAAUUUUUUAUUAUAAAAUUGUUAUAUUUAGUAAAUUUUUUUGGUACUGGUAGUAGUAAUAUAUAUAUUUCCUUUUAUGAUAACAAACUUUAUGGUGUGGCUUAAUUUAAUUCCCAAACAGUAAUAUUCUUAUCAAACUGCUGUAUUAACCAGAAGUAAAAUAAUAUAUCAUGUAAAUGGCCUCUUUUUAAAUUAGUUAAGCUAUUGCUUAAACUGAAAAAUGUAUGCCAUUCCCCCAAAGAGGCACUGUGGCUUGGAGUUAAGAUUUGGGUUAAAAUUUCAACUCUAGAACUUUUUUUUUUGUAAAGCAUUGGGCAGCAAGUUAACCAAUUUGCACUCUAGUUUCUUCUUCAUCUCUAAAAUGUGUAUACAGAUCCUUCUCUCUCAGUGCAUUUGGGAGAAUCAGAUGAGCUAGUGUGUGAACAUAGUUUCUUUUUUUUUUUUUUUUAACAUCUUUAUUGGGGUAUAAUUGCUUUACAAUGGUGUGUUAGUUUCUGCUUUAUAACGAAGUGAAUCAGUUAUACAUAUACAUAUGUUCCCAUAUCUCUUCCCUCUUGCGUCUCCCUCCCUCCCUCCCACCCUCCUGAACAUAGUUUCUAAAUAACAAAGUGCUAUAUGAACAAUAUUUUGACAGUUGCUCAUUUAUGGUAAUUGGUAGAUAAAAAGAGUUUAAGUACUUGAUUUUUAAAAACCUCUCUUCCACAUGAUAAAAUUUUCAGUAUUAGUAGUAUAUGUUUAAGAAACAUCAUUCAACAGCAUAAUAAUACAAACUAUAAUUUUGAAUACAAGAAUGAGCCUCUUUUGUUAAACUCUUCUAUACAGCGACGGCAUGAAUAUUUUUUGUGUUUUUUUAAUAUAUAUAUAUAUAUAUAUAUAUUUCUACAUUCUAAAUGA